GCUCUCUCUCCUCAGCGCCACUCUAUGAGGACAUAUGUCAAAGUCUUUGUGCUGCAAGCAUCGACCAGCAAAAAAAGGGGAAAAAAACCCAAACAUUUGGAUUUCAAGCUUCCUAUCCGUCAGUCGCUCUGCCCCAGGCCGUCCAUCUGACCAGGGUGGAGGUGAUGAGGUGUGAAGAUGGAGGUUCCUGAGUAUUUGGACUUGGACGAGAUCGACUUCUCGGACGACGCUGUGUAUUCGGUCUCGUCUCUGAAGAACAUUCCAGAAUUGUCCAGGCGAAACGAUGCCCAGGCGGAGGAGAGAGCCGCGUCAUCCAUCAAUUGGAGUCGUGGCGUGGCGUCCCACGUGGGUAUGGUGGGAAUCAAACCCGCAGCUGGGACUGAAGCGCACAGUAAAUUCCGUCCCGUGAAGCGGGUUUCUCCUCUCAAGCAUCACCCUGAGACCAGAGAGGAGCCUGUCGGCUGGGACGCCAAGGUCCGAGAGCAAGACCAGGAGCGAGGAGCAGGCGACGCUGGGCCGCCCGCUAAGGACCACAAUCUGCCUUCUGAUCCGAUGGGAGGGAAGAUGGUCGAUGGCGCCGGCGUGGGUCCGGCAGCCACGAUCCAAGGGGGCAACCUGGUUGUCCUGGGGGAGCUGGAGCACUACGACCUGGACAUGGACGAGAUCCUGGACGUGCCUUUCAUCAAGCCGUCCGGCCAGCAGACGUCGACGCUGCCGAGGGCCCUCGACAAGCGGCUGGUGAGCUCAGGCAGCGUGGGCGGAGCUACGCUGGAGCGACAGCGCCGGCAAAACAACAACAAGGACGAGGACAACGGCAGCAACGUGGCAGCCCAGAUGUGCAUCCUGUCUCCCCUGAAGUGGUCCGACCUGAGAAAGUCCAAGUCCCUGGAUCCGGACCUGCAACAGCUUCCUCGUUCUCAGUCCUCAGGAAGCUUCCAGCAGCAGCAGCAGCAUCAUCAUCUUCAUCACCAUCAUCAUCAGGAGGUGCCACUGUCCUCUUCCUCCUCGUUGCUCAGCGGCUCCUCGUCACUCUCCUCCUUCCCUGAGGGAGACAAGCUGCUGUCGGCCAGGGAAGGACAAAACCACAACCAGAGGCCUGGCCUGGAGCCUCCAGCAGGGAGCGCCGGCGUCCUGUUUCCCCUGCAGGCCAAGCAGGACGCUGCCAAACUGUGGAGCCCCGCAGCAGCAGGAGGAGGGGGAAGAGGAAGGGGGGGUGGAGCGGAAGUGGACGAGGAAAGCAAGAAGCACAACAUCAUCAACAUCGUCAGGGAAGGUCAAAUCUCAUUGCUGCCUCACCUGGCUGCCGAUAACCUUUCGCUGAUCCGCGACGAGGUGGGCAACAAUCUCCUGCACGUGGCGGCGGCUCAGGGCCACGCCGAGUGUCUGCAGCAUCUCACGUCUCUGAUGGGCGAGGACGGACUGAACGAACGCAACCAGCAGCAGCUCACACCCGCCGGGCUCGCCGUCAAGAACGGUCACCUGGAGUGCGUGCGUUGGAUGGUGAGCGAGACGGAGGCCAUCGCCGAGUUGAGCUGCAGCCGAGAACAUCCCAGCUUGAUACACUACGCCGCUCGCUACGGACAGGAGAAGGUUCUGUUGUGGCUGCUUCAGUUCAUGCAAGAGCAGGCCAUUUCCCUGGAUGAGGUGGACCAAAACGGCAACACAGGAGUACACGUGGCCGCGCAGUACGGACACCUCACCUGUAUACAGACGCUGGUGGAGUACGGCUCCAACGUGACUGUGCCAAACCAGCAGGGCGAGCGACCUUCCCAGCUGGCAGAACGUCAAGGUCACAGCCCGUGCGCCCGCUACCUGGUUGUCGUGGAAACCUGCAUGUCGCUAGCAUCGCAGGUUGUCAAGCUGACCAAGCAGCUCACAGAACAAGCAGCUGAGAAGGCAAUACUACAGAAACAACUCAACAAAUUUGACACCAGCUGUCAACCGUCUGGCACGGAGGUGUGCCCUGAGAUGGUGCUGAGCGUGGAGGGGACGUCUGCGGACAGCGAUUGGCUGGUGCGUCAGGAGGCGGGGCUACGGAAAGACACCUGCGAUGCCUCUAGGGUCGGGGCGGCGGCUGGGGGUCCGAGCCGGGAGGGCCCGCGCCGGAGCGGACCUGUAGCAUCGGCAGAGAAGCGCGAGCAGAAGCUGGCGCGCCUGAAGCAGAUGAUGCAACGUUCACUUAGCGAAUCGGAUUCCGACGCUGCUACCAGACCCGAUAGGCCCACACAUCUGCCAGUCAACGAUGAAGAGCCCGCCUCCAAGCACCUCCACCUGGCAAUGAGGAAGCACCUCCCCCCGGCUGACAGGAAGCCGAUCCCCAAGCCGGUCAAUGGCGUGGCCUUCAGUCCCUCCGAGGCAACGGACGCCACGGACGCCGCCGCCAGCCCCCCCAAGGCGGCGGCCACAAGUCCCAAGAGCGCUCUCAAGUCGCCGUCGUCGCGCAGGAAAACGGCACACAGCCUCAAGCUCAGAGUCACCUUUAAUGAGCACCUGCACCAGGAGGCGGAGCCUAGCAAGGCAGCACCCACCACCACCAAGGAGUCCAUGCCCACAGGAAACUCGGAGGCAAAAAGGCCCUUCGGGGCGCUCAGGUCUAUUAUGGAGACGCUCAGCGGAAACGCAAACAACAACAACAACAACACGCACAACACGUCACACAACCAGCACAAGAACAAGAACAGAAGCACUAAUGUGUGAACACUUUUUUUUGCCAUGGCAACAACUUUUAUAAUCACACACUUAUUCAUGAUGUCACGUUUUUUUUAAACAAAUGUAUUUAAAGCAGGUUGUCACAUGACAUGUCACUAUGGCAACACUCUUCAGGACAACAUGUAUUAGUAGCUAUUCAAACCAGGCUGUCGCUAAAGCUAAAAUCAAGCCGCUUCAAUGUUUAUUUUCAAAACUGGCAACACUCCAUGACAUUAGCAUUUUCACCAUGUCUUGUCAAUAAGGCAACAAACAAAACUUAAUUUAACCCAAGUUGUUCUGAACUGGUUGCCAUAGCAACAUCACUGUUCACUAUAUAUUUUUUCAAAAUCACUUUUUUUGGUCCCACUCAUUGUCAUAUGCGGGAAUCAAGUGUACCACUACACCAACACUUGCUUUACAGCUGCCAAUCCGCUAGGGGGCAGCAGUGAACCCAAAUGAGCUGCGAUGACAUCCUUGCAAUUUGAUUUGACGCUUGGACAGGUGCGCUAAAUAUUGUCUUCGAGGCUAAUAGCUCAGUGGUGUUAUGACAAAAUGAAGAGAGGGCACAUGUUAUUUUUAUUCCUAAGAAGCAAAUGAGAUUUUGAUGCUAUCAUGCGCCCAGGUAGCCAUAUUAGCAUGUUGUUCGUGUCACACUGGUAAGUAACUUGUUUGCAGUUAGCUUGUGUGACUCCUUCUCAGCUCACAGAUUCUCCCAGUUUUUUGAUAAGCAUUUAACCUGCCAGUGUUUAAUUUACAUUAAUAUACAGCAGUUUGUUAAUGAUAUGGACUGUUUAGCAUUUAGCUUGUGCAACUAAUUCAAUGUUAGAGUAACCUUUAAGUGACUGUUUAUCUUUUAAUGUUAGCAUGUGGCAUUUAGCCAGGGGUCAGCGUCCCUAAUAUGGUUAUCAGAACAUUUAUACCAGCAAUUUGCCCAUCUGACUCUAAGCUUGUUUUAGCAAAAAGUAUUUCCCCGGCUUCUUUUACAGAUUACCUGAUUAGCAUGCGACCUGUAAACCAGACUA